UUCGCCAACAAAGAACGCCAGCCCUAGCAGAUCCGGGAUGGCUGCCGCCGCCUGAUGUCGUCCCGGCGCAUUUCGCUGGCGAAAUACCCUGGUGUCCUCCUCCUUUCACCAGCUUCCGCUCCCUUGAAGGAACUAACUCUCCACAUGACUCCCCAGGCGGGCGCGAUUUCUAAGGGAGAACCGAUCGAGUUCACAUCGAUUUUGUUGUGAGUGACUGCUAUAAGAAAAGUUGAUGUGGCAUCAAGAAUUCGUCCUUCAGCGUGCUGCACUCGUACUAGCCAACGCCAAGUCGGUCUGCAGCUUUAUGCAAACAAGAAGCUAAACUAGCAGUGUGAAGAGACAAGAGACUGUGGUACUGCUUUGAUGGUAAAAUACCGGUGAUCAUACUGCACCCAGAUCAGGCGCACAUCUUGACUGUUCGUGAGAACGUAAGGUUGCAGGGCUUCCCUGAUUACUACCACAUUUACGUCCCAAUCAAGGAGAAGUAUGUUGACAUUUACGUCCCAAUCAAGGAGAAGUACUCUCUGGGUCAGGCGUAAAAGGGAGAGUCAGAGGGGCGUGGUCUGCUCUUUGUGCUGAACGAGAGCUACUCAGCUACACUGAUGUUAGGCAGAGUGAGGUAGUCGUAGCGCGUCAGGGUGGAGAGCUUAGUUUUCCGAGCUUGGUCUGAUUCAAGCUCAUGCGGAGAUAAAAACGGCUGCAGCAAUAUACAGUAAUGGCAAUGGGGAGUUGAUAUACCAUUGUCUCCAUGUAAAAGCUUAUAGACCGACUUCAAACUAGUUAGAA